rnacentral:rRNA from 1 species
GAUCGCAAGAUCGGCGAAAUGCUCAGUAACACGUCGUUAACGUGCCCUUUGGUCAGGCAUAAGCACGGGAAACUGUGUGUAAUUCCUGAUAGGGAAGCCAACCUGAAUGGUGGUUUCUUUUAAACUCGUGCCAAAGGAUCGGACGGCGGCGGAUUAGGUAGUUGGCGGUGUAAUGGACCACCAAGCCGUUGAUCCGUACGGGCCAUGAGAGUGGUAGCCCGGAGAGGGACACUGAGAUACUGGUCCCAGCCCUACGGGGUGCAGCAGGCGCGAAACCUUUACAAUGCACGCAAGUGUGAUAAGGGGAUCCCCCGUGCUCAUGCAUUGCAUGGGCUUUUGCCUAGUGUAAAUAGCUAGGCGAAUAAGUGGUGGGAAAGACUGGUGCCAGCCGCCGCGGUAACACCAGCGCCACGAGUGGUGACCACGUUUAUUGGGCCUAAAGCGUCCGUAGCCGGUUUGUGUAAGUCUUUUGUGAAAUUGUUGGGCUUAACCCAACAGCGUGCAAGAGAUACUGCCGGACUCGAGACCGGGAGGAGUCAGAAGUAUUCCAGGGGGAGCGGUUAAAUGUUAUAAUCCCUGGAGGACUACCUGUGGCGAAGGCGUCUGACUAGAACGGCUCUGACGGUGAGGGACGAAAGCCAGGGGAGCGAACCGGAUUAGAUACCCGAGUAGUCCUGGCCGUGAACGCUGUGAGCUAGGUGUUGCAUCAACUACGCGUUGGUGCAGUGUCGAAAGGAAGCUGUUAAGCUCACCGCCUGGGAAGUACGGUCGCAAGACUGAAACUUUAAGGAAUUGGCGGGGGAGCACCACAAGGGGUGCGGCGUGCGGUUUAAUCUAACUCAACGCAGAGAACCUUACUAGGAGCGACGGCAGUAUGAAGGCCAGUUUGAAGAGCUUACCUGACAAGCCGAGAGGUGGUGCAUGGCCGUCGUCAGCUCGUGCUGUGAAGUGUCCAGCUAAGCCUGGCAACGAGCGAGACCUGUAUCUGCAAUUGCUAACAGCUGUUUACAGGACUGAGCACUUUGCAGAGACUGCCCUGGAAACAGGGAGGAAGGUGCAGGCUACGGUAGGUCUGUAUGCCCCGAAUCUCCUAGGCUACACGCGCGCAACAAUGGUUGGGACAAUGGGAUGCCACUCCGAAAGGAGAAGCUAAACCUCAUAACCCAAUCCAAGUUCAGAUUGAGGGUUGCAACUCACCCUCAUGACGACGGAAUCCCUAGUAAUCAGAAGUCAUCAUCUUCUGGUGAAUAUGUCCCUGCUCCUUGCACACACCGCCCGUCAAAUCAACCGAGCAGUGUCUGGGUAAAAUGCAGUUUCUUGAUUGCAUUGAAUCUAGGCUCAGUGAGGUGGGUUAAGUCGUCACAAGGUA